AGGACGAACGCUGGCGGUGUGCUUAACACAUGCAAGUCGAGCGGUGAUCCUCCUUCGGGAGGUGAUCAGCGGCGAACGGGUGAGUAACACGUGGGCAACCUGCCCCUCACACUGGGAUAACCUCGGGAAACCGGGGCUAAUACCGGAUACGACCUCGAGCGGCAUCUCUUGAGGUGGAAAGCUCCGACGGUGAGGGAUGGGCCCGCGGCCUAUCAGCUUGUUGGUGGGGUAAUGGCCUACCAAGGCGACGACGGGUA
rnacentral:rRNA from 1 species